GGGGAUGUAACUUAGUGGUACAGCACUUGCCUACCAUGCAUGAGGCCCUAGGUUCAAUCCCCAGUACCACCA
rfam:Heterocephalus glaber contig196250, whole genome shotgun sequence.